ACCUUGUUGGGGAGUGUCCCCUUCCCUUGUUGCUGGUCGAGAAGAGCAAGGGGGCUUAAGACCCCGACAAAUGGAGGCCGCGUGGGACAUGUGGAGCCCAGGUCUGUUCAGCACCAGCAUCUCCCUGCUUCCCCCUGGUCUGCAGAAGACACUGGAACUGAGACCAGAAGUCAGGUCUGAGUCCCUCCUCCAGUCUCAGGCCACCUGGGGGUGACCUCGAGCGCCAUUGCUGUGGUGUCAGCUGGGAGCCACCUUCCCCCUCCCUGGCCCUGUCCUUUCCUUGCUGUCUCCAUCUCCAUGACUGUGGCCAGAGGCCCAUGGCCACAGCUCAGCCACAUAUCCUGGGUUCCAGAGGAGAACGCACCAGCUCUCCCACCCCAAGUGCCAGACUGUCCACCAGGUUUCCCCCUUGCUUGGUCCAAUCCUCCUCUGCAUCCUGGAUGGGGCACCGAUUCCUUCAGUUCUCAGCACAGGCACUCUCCCGGGUAGCUCGUCCAGCCUGUGAGGCUCAGGAUCAGAUGUCCACUUCAGUCCAGAGAGUGUCAUUGUACAUGGACAUCCAAGAGUGGGAGGAAGAAAUGGAGCAGGGACUGCACCAGCCCCGGGGAGCCUCGGCCACGUUCUCGGGAGCCUCAGGCUUGGGGUUGGGCGCUGCCCACCACUGCCCAGCUCAUACAUAGCAUCAUCACCAGCCCUGCAGAUCAGACUGAACCCUGCAUCACCCCAGAGCCGGGCCCAGGGUCCCAGGUCUGGUUUACUUGGAUAUUUUUAAGGAUCCAGGACAGUGUUCAGAGGCACUGGUCCCUGACCAUGAGGUUGUCCCUGUCCACUGGGAGAACAGCCAUCUCCACCUGGACCCAGCCCUGGGGCACCCACAGUGACCGCCCUUAACUCACAAUAGAAAUGGAAUCAAGACCCCGAAGGUCACAGACCCGCAGCUUUACGUGCCCAGAUGCCGGGUGACCUGCUGGCCUGGAGCCCAGCAAGGACGUGCUCAGUGCAGAGGCCUCAGGGGCCACUCACCUCACGGAUGGUGGGAUGUGCAGAAAUCCGAAGCAGCUGAGGGAAAGUGGGGACGCACGCAGUUCAUUUCCACCCGACCCCGAGGUCCCCUCCUGUGAGAAGAGCCCCCACUCCUGCCCCGCGCUGGGAAUUGGACAGCAGGGGACGCCCGUCGUUACCAGGGUGAGGCACGGCCAUGACCUCUGCCUUGUCCAGUCCCUUGGUCUCCAUGAGCUCCUGGAACAUCUUCACCGCCUCGGGGUUCUCUUCCAUGGUGUGGCCUGCGGGCACAAUGAGGUGUGGCCAGGAGCCAGAACCAGGCCCCCCAGGCUGGGUGAACCUCUCCCCCGGAGGCCUCUGGCCACUCGGAGCACUCGAGUCUGCUGACCCAGGCCCAGGUCUGGGGAGCAGUGCGCUGCUAGAAGGAGCUUCAGAGAACCUCUUGACCAGCC